rnacentral:rRNA from 1 species
CAGUCGCCACGGUAAUACGUAGGUGGCGAGCGUUGUCCGGAAUCAUUGGGCGUAAAGGGAGCGCAGGCGGGCAUGUGAGUCUUUCUUAAAAGUUCGGGGCUCAACCCCGUGAUGGGAAAGAAACUACAUGUCUUGAGUACAGGAGAGGAAAGCGGAAUUCCCAGUGUAGCGGUGAAAUGCGUAGAUAUUGGGAGGAACGCCAGUGGCGAAGGCGGCUUUCUGGACUGCAACUGACGCUGAGGCUCGAAAACCAGGGGAGCGAACGGGAUUAGAUACCCGAGUAGUCCCUGUCUCUUAUACA